CUCUUUCCUCCGAAGACGAAUAUGAGGAACAACAGACACGGGUGAAACACGUGAAGGAUUCGUCAUCAGCGUCUUCAUCUUCACGCUCCGGCGAUGCUGCUAAGAGAAGCGCCAGCAAAUCAUCGCAUCCGGACAGUAAGAAGAAGAAGCUCAAGACGAUGUCGCCUACUGUUCAUCCCAUCAGUCCUGUUAUGAAGCCCCAGAGAAGCGAUAUGAAGACCACGAGCCAUGACUUAUUUGGUAGUGACAGCGACGAUGAUCGUGAAGAGAUAGCAGCAAGUAAUUUAAAGGCACCUCGAGUAUCUUCCUCGCGGAAGAUUGAAAAAGAAUCCGGAAUUGAUAUCAAUGAACCUAAUAAUGAAUUAAUAGAAAAAGAUAUUGAUAUCCAUAAUCCUAGUAAUGAAUUAAUAGAAAAAGAAAUUGAUAUCCAUGAUCCUAACAAUGAAUUAAUAAUAUGCAAAAAAUGUCAGAUUGAAUUACCGAAAACUGAAUUGAAAUAUCAUUUAAGAACUAAUGUACAUAAGUCAAAUAGUUUAGUUCAAAGCCAUUUUAACAAUAUCUUUGUAAUUGCAAGUGCUUUCAAAAACAGAAUCAUAACAUAUCGUUUAAACCCUGCACAAGGUGUUGAAUACUGUACACCCGAAGCAUUCUUGUGUGAGAAUACGAACGAUGUCCUGAAACUUAUACAUAUGUCUUUAUUGAAGAAUACUUGUGUCAAGAUUAACUUCGAGUUGUUUGCCCACUUUGUGUUACCAAAAACAAGUGAGCAACAACUUAAGUCGUUUAAUACGAAAUAUAAAGUUAUUUGUAAUAACACGAUUUUAAGUGACUUCUAUUCGAAUGCUAUUGAACUUUUAAAAUGCAAAAUGUCAGAAUUCGAACACAAAGAAUCUGGAUGGUCUUUUAAAUCAGUGAGCCAUCUUGAAAUCAAUGUUAAUAAAUAUUGUCCUAUGAGAGGUGGUACUUACCUUGAAUUACCAAAAAAACUUAAAAACUCGAAAAGUUGUAUUAAUAUUCAAAAUAAUGACAAUUGCUGCUUUUUAUGGAGUGUAGUAGCUUCAUUAUAUCCCGUUAAGAAGAAUGUAUGCAGGACUAAUUCGUAUCCACAUUACAGUUCUAUAUUUAAUAUUGAAGGGAUGUCUUUCCCUGUUUCAUAUGAAGACAUAAAAUUAUUUGAGACCAACAAUAAUAUAAGUAUCAAUGUCUAUGGAGUAGAAAAUAAGAGCGAAACAGUAACCGGCCCUCUAUAUUUAACAAACAAAAGAAGAUCUAUACAUGUAAAUUUGUUAUAUUUAGAAAGAAAAGGAAUGAGUCAUUACUGUCUUAUCAAAGACCUGGCACGUUUAGUACGAGGACAAGUAACAAAUCAUAAAGGUAAUUUUUUUCUGUGUGAGUCAUGUUUACAAUUUUAUAGCUGUGAAACUAAGUAUAGAUCUCAUAUCUGUUCUAAAACUUUAUCAAUUUUACCUGAUAAAAAUAGUAAACUGGGUUUCAAGAAUUAUGAACGAAAACAAAAAAUCAACUAUGUAAUUUACGCAGACUUUGAAAGUCUAUUGGUAAAUUGUUUCGAAAAGAAAUCUGAAAACACACAUAA